AUGAAGGAGGUGCAAGGCGUGGUGGAGGUUGCUGCCAUGAAGGAGGUGCAAGGCGUGGUGGAGGUUGCUGCCAUGGAGGAGGUGCAAGGCGUGGUGGAGGUUGCUGCCAUGGAGGAGGUGCAAGGCGUGGUGGAAGUUCAUGCCAUGAAGGAGAUGGUGCAAGAGCAAGAGAUGGUACGCAAAACCUACUCCAACCCGACAUCAACUUGUGAGGUGUGCAUUCAUCCGGCUUUGUGCCUCAAGUGUGGCAUCCGUGGUGAGGCUUCUAUAUUCCUUUGCUCGGGGUGUAGGCUUCCGGUUCCAAAAGAUUUACGUUCUUGCACCUCGUGUGGAAAUCCUUGCCUGUGUGACAAUUAUUGGUGCAAGGAUUGUGCGAUUACGGCGGCGAUAAACAAAGAUGGGAUAUGCAUAAGGUGCCGUCGCAACCCAUCUAUCUAUCUCGAGGAGGAAAAGAAAGCGCAUAAUGUGCCGGAUAGUCAAGUUUAG
rnacentral:rRNA from 1 species